ACCCUAGGCAUUUCUCAAUAGUGGAUAGAUCAGAGAGGGACAAAGGAACAUGUACUUAGACAACGCUUUCCACUCCGGUGACCUUGCACAGGGGGCAAAGAAGGGAGGUUUCAUCAUUAGGAGCACAGUGCAACCGUGCAAGACAUGCCUCCUUCUUCUUCACCUUUCACCAUAAGUUUCCUGAGGCCUCCCCAGCUUCCUGUACACACUGCAGAACCGAUUCACAGUUGUUUUAAUCCACAAAUACCAAAGACAUGGAUAUGGACAGCCAACUAUGGGUGAGUGUGUGUGUAUGUGUGCCUGUGUAGAGAGAGAGAGAGAGAGGGGGAUGAAUGUGGGUGUGUAUAUUUUAAUUUGCCAAAUUCGUUAUAUUUGUACUGCCAAAUAAACCUGAGGGAUAUACUAUUUUUGAUAAAUAAGAAAAAGAACAAAUUUCACAUUUGUUAUAUGUUUGCUAUUUCUAAGACACUUUUAAAAAAUUAAUUAAUUAAUUUUUAAAUUGCAUUUUAGGUUUUGGGGUACAUGUGCAGAACAUGCAAGGUAGUUGCAUAGGUACACACAUGGCAGUGUGCUUUGCUGCCUUCCUCCCCUUCACCCACAUUUGGCAUUUAUCCCCAGGCUAUCCCUCCCCAACUCCCCCUGCCCCACUGUCUCUACCCUAUUCCCCCCAAUAGACCCCAUUGUGUAGUACUCCCUUCCCUGUGUCCAUGUGUUCUCAUUUUUCCUCACCUGCCUCUGAGUGAGAAGAUGCAGUAUUUCAUUUUCUGUUCUUGUGUCAGUUUGCUGAGAAUGAUGUUCUCCAGAUUCAUCCAUGUCCCUAAAAAAGGACACGAACUCAUCAUUUUUGAUUGCUGCAUAAUAUUCCAUCGUGUAUAUGUGCCACAUUUUCCCUGUCCAGUCUAUCAUCGAUGGGCAUUUGGGUUGGUUCCAGCUCUUUGCUAUUGUAAACAGUGCUGCAAUGAACAUUCGUGUGCAUGUGUCCUUAUAGUAGAAUGAUUAAUACUCCUUUGGAUAUAUACCCAGUAAUGGGAUUGCUGGGUCAAAUGGAAUUUCUAUUUCUAAGGCCUUGAGGAAACGCCACACUGUUUUCCACAAUGGUUGAACUAAUUUACACUCCCACCAGCAGUGUAAAAGUAUUCUUAUUUCUCCACAUCCUCUCCAGCAUUUGUUGUCUCCAGAUAUUUUAAUGAUCGCCAUUCUAACUGGCGUGAGAUGGUAUCUCAAUGUGGUUUUGAUUUGCAUCUCUCUAAUGACCAGUGAUGAUAAGCAUUUUUUCAUAUGUUUGUUGGCCUCAUGUAUGUCUUCUUUUGUAAAGUGUCUGUUCAUAUCCUUUGCCCAUUUUCGAAUGGGCUUGUUUGUUUUUUUCCUGUAAAUCUGGUUUAGUUCUUUGUAAAUUCUGGAUAUCAGCCCUUUGUGAGAUGGGUAAACUGCAAACAUUUUUUCCCAUUCUGUUGGUUGCGGAUUCACUCUAAUGAUUGUUUCUUUUGCCGUGCAGAAGCUGUGGAGUUUGAUUAGGUCCCAUUUGUCUAUUUUGGUUUUUGUUGCCAAUGCUUUUGGUGUUUUGGUCAUGAAGUCCUUGCCUACUCCUAUGUCCUGAAUGGUUUUGCCUAGAUUUUCUUCUAGGAUUUUUAUGGUGCCAGGCCUUAUGUUUAAAUCUUUAAUCCAUCUGGCGUUAAUUUUAGUGUAAGGUGUCAGGAAGGGGUCCAGUUUCUGCUUUCUGCACAUGGCUAGCCAGUUUCCCCAACACCAUUUAUUAAACAGAAAUCCUUUCCCCAUUGCUUGUUUUUUUUAGGUUUAUCAAAGAUUGUAUGGUUGUAGAUACAUUGUGUUGCUGCUGAUGCCUCUGUUCAGGUCCAUGGGUCUAUAUCUCUGUUUUGGUACCACUACCAUGCUGUUUUGAUUACUGUAGCCUUGUAGUAUAGUUUGAAGUCUAGUAGUGUGAUGCCUCCCGCUGAGUUCUUUUUGCUUAGAAUUGACUUGGCUAUGCAGGCUCUCCUUUGGUUCCAUAUGAAGUUCAUGAUGGUUUUUUCCAGUUCUGUGAAGAAAGUCAAUGGUAGCUUGAUGGGGAUAGUGUUGAUUCUGUAAAUUACUUUGGGCAUUAUAGCCAUUUUCAUGAUACUGAUUCUUCCUAACCAUGAACAUGGAAUGUUUCUCCAUCUGUUUGUGUCCUCUCUGAUUUCGUUGAGCAGUGGUUUGUAGUUCUCCUUGAAGAGGUCCCUUACGUUCCUUGUGAGUUGUAUUCCAAGGUAUUUUAUUCUUUUUGUAGCAAUUGUGAAUGCCAGUUUGUUCUUGAUUUGGCUUUCUUUAAGUCUGUUUUUGGUUUAGACGAAUGCUUGUGAUAUUUGCACAUUGAUUUUAUAUCCUGAGACUUUGCUGAAGUUGCUUAUCAGUUUCAGCUUUUGGGAUGAGGCGAUGGGGUCUUCUAGGUAUAUUAUCAUGUCGUCUGCAAAUAGAGACAAUUUGGCUUCCUCCUUUCCUAUUUGAAUACACUUUAUUUCUUUUUCUUGCCUGAAUGCUCUGGCUAGAACUUCCAGUACUCUAUUGAAUAGGAGUGGUGAGAGAGGGCAUCGUUGUCUAGUGCGGGAUUUCAAAGGGAAUGCUUCCAGUUUUUGCCCAUUCAGUAUGAUAUUGGCUGUGGGUUUGUCAUAUAUAGCUUAUAUUACUUUGAGAUAUGUUCCAUCAAUACCGAGUUUAUUGAGGGUUUUUAGCAUAAAGGUCUGUUGAAUUUUCUCAAAUGCCUUCUCUGCAUCAAUUGAGAUAAUCAUAUGGUUUUUGUUUUUGGUUCUGUUUAUGUGGUGAAUUACAUUUAUAGACUUGCAUAUCUUGAACCAGCCUUGCAUCCCCGGGAUGAAUCCUACUUGAUCAUGAUGGAUAAGUUUUUUGAUGUGCUGUUGCAAUCAGUUUGCCAUAAUUUUAUUGAAGAUUUUUGCAUCUAUGUUCAUCAUGAAUAUUGGCCUGAAGUUUUCUUUUCUUGUUGAGUCUCUGCCGGAUGUUGGUAUUAGGAUGAUGUCGGUCUCAUAAAAUGAUUUGGGAAGGAUUCCCUCUUUUUGGAUUAUAUGGAAUAGUUUCAGAAGGAAUGGUACCAGCUCCUCUUUGUGUGUCUGGUAGAAUUUGGCUGUGAACCCAUCUGGACCUGGGCUCUUUUGGUGUGGUAGGCUCUUAAUUGCUGCCUCAACUUCAGACCUUGUUAUUGGUCUAUUCAUAGUUUUGGCUUCCUCCUGGUUUAGUCUUGGGUGGACACAGGUGUCCAGGAAUUUAUCCAUUUCUUCCAGGUUUACUAGUUUAUGUGCAUAGAGUUGUUUGUAAUAUUCUCCGAUGAUGGUUUGAAUUUCUGUGGAAUCUGUGGUGAUUUCCCCUUUAUCUUUUUUUAUUGUAUCUAUUUGGUUGUUCUCUCUUUUCUUUUUUAUCAGUCUGGCUAGUGGUCUAUUUGGUUGAUCUUUUAAAAAAAACCAGCUCUUGGAUUUAUUGAUUUUUUGAAGGGUUUUUCAUGUCUCUAUCUCCUUCAGUUCUGCUCUGAUCUUAGUUAUUUCUUGUCUUCUGCUGGGUUUUGAGUUUUUUGAUCUUGCUCCUCUAGCUCUUUCAAUUUUGACAAUAAGGUGUCAAUUUUGGAUCUCUCCACUCUUCUCAUUUGGGCACUUAUUGCUAUAUAUUUUCCUCUAGAGACUGCUUUAAAUGUGUCCCAGAGAUUCUGGUAUGUUGUGUCUUCAUUCUCGUUGGUUUUGAAGAACUUCUUUAUUUCUGCCUUCAUUUCAUUGUUUAUCCAAUCAACAUUCAAGAGCCACUUGUUCAGUUUCCAUGAAGUUGUGCAGUUCUGAGUUAGUUUCUGAAUUCUGAGUUCUAACUUGAUUGCACUAUGGUCUGAGAGGCUGUUUGUUAUGAUUUCUGUUGUUUUGCAUUUGCUGAGGAGUGCUUUACUUCCAAUUAUGUGGUCCAUUUUAGAGUAGGUGUGUUGUGGUGCUGAGAAGAAUUUAUAUUCUGUGAUUUGGGGUGGAGAGUUCUGUAAAUGUCUAUCAGGUUUGCUUGUGCCAGGUCUGAGUUCAAGCCCUGGAUAUUGUUAAUUUUCUGUCUGGUUGAUCUGUCUAAUAUUGACAGUGGAGUGUUAAAGUCUCCCACUAUUAUUGUGUGGGAGUCUAAGUCUCUUUGCCUUAUAUAACUGGGUGCUCCUGUAUUGGGUCCAUAUAUAUUUAGGAUCGUUACCUCUUCUUGUUGUAUCAAUCCUUUUACCAUUAUGUAAUGACCUUCUUUGUCUCUUUUGAUCUUUGUUGCUUUAAAGUCUAUUUUAUCAGAGACGAGUAUUGCAACUCCU